CGCCUCUUGCAAAAUAGAAAUAAGAGGUCCUGCCUGCCCUGUGACCCUGUGUUCAACGGCCGCGGUAUUUUGACCGUGCGAAGGUAGCGUAAUCACUUGUCUUUUAAAUAAAGACCUGUAUGAAUGGCAAGACGAGGGCUUGACUGUCUCCUUCCUUUUAUCAAUGAAAUUGAUCUCCCCGUGCAGAAGCGGAGUUAAAACCAUAAGACGAGAAGACCCUAUGGAGCUUUAAAUACUUAAAUAAUCCUUUGCUUAAACCCUGCUUAAACCACGGUAAGCAAUAAGUUAAUUAAUUAACUAUUUUUGGUUGGGGCGACCACGGGGAAAAAAGUAACCCCCGUGAAGAUUGAGGUCACACCUUAAAGCUAAGAACUCCUAUUCUAUGCAACAAAAUCUUUGAGUUACGAUCCGGCAAAGCCGAUCAACGGACCUAGUUACCCUAGGGAUAACAGCGCAAUCCCUUUUAAGAGUCCUUAUCGACAAGGGGGUUUACGACCUCGAUGUUGGAUCAGGACAUCCUAACGGUGCAGCCGCUGUUAAGGGUUCGUUUGUUCAACGAUUAAAGUCCU
rnacentral:rRNA from 1 species